rnacentral:rRNA from 1 species
CCAGACUCUACGGGAGGCAGCAGUAGGGAAUCUUCGGCAAUGGGGGGAACCCUGACCGAGCAACGCCGCGUGAGUGAAGAAGGUUUUCGGAUCGUAAAGCUCUGUUGUUAAGGAAGAACGAGUGUGAGAAUGGAAAGUUCAUACUGUGACGGUACUUAACCAGAAAGGGACGGCUAACUACGUGCCAGCAGCCGCGGUAAUACGUAGGUCCCGAGCGUUGUCCGGAUUUAUUGGGCGUAAAGCGAGCGCAGGCGGUUAGAUAAGUCUGAAGUUAAAGGCAGUGGCUCAACCAUUGUAGGCUUUGGAAACUGUUUAACUUGAGUGCAGAAGGGGAGAGUGGAAUUCCAUGUGCAGCGGUGAAAUGCGUAGAUAUAUGGAGGAACACCGGUGGCGAAAGCGGCUCUCUGGUCUGUAACUGACGCUGAGGCUCGAAAGCGUGGGGAGCGAACAGGAUUAGAUACCCUGGUAGUCCACGCCGUAAACGAUGAGUGCUAGGUGUUAGGUCCUUUCCGGGACUUAGUGCCGCAGCUAACGCAUUAAGCACUCCGCCUGGGGAGUACGACCGCAAGGUUGAAACUCAAAGGAAUUGACGGGGGCCCGCACAAG